CGUGGCUCAGUUAGUAGAGCAUUGCGCUUAUAACGCCAACGUUGUGAGUUCGAUUCCCACCG
rnacentral:tRNA from 1 species